UACGAAGGGGGCUAGCGUUGUUCGGAAUCACUGGGCGUAAAGCGCACGUAGGCGGAUCUUUAAGUCAGAGGUGAAAUCCCAAGGCUCAACCUUGGAACUGCCUUUGAUACUGGGGAUCUUGAGUCCGGGAGAGGUGAGUGGAACUGCUAGUGUAGAGGUGGAAUUCGUAGAUAUUAGGAAGAACACCAGUGGCGAAGGCGGCUCACUGGUCCGGUACUGACGCUGAGGUGCGAAAGCGUGGGGAGCAAACAGG
rnacentral:rRNA from 1 species